GACGAACGCUGGCGGCGUGCUUAACACAUGCAAGUCGAACGGAAAGGCCCUGCUUGCAGGGUACUCGAGUGGCGAACGGGUGAGUAACACGUGGGUGAUCUGCCCUGCACUUCGGGAUAAGCCUGGGAAACUGGGUCUAAUACCGGAUAGGAGCCAUUUUUAGUGUGAUGGUUGGAAAGUUUUUUCGGUGUAGGAUGAGCUCGCGGCCUAUCAGCUUGUUGGUGGGGUAAUGGCCUACCAAGGCGGCGACGGGUAGCCGGCCUGAGAGGGUGGACGGCCACAGUGGGACUGAGAGACGGCCCAGACUCCGACGGGAGGCAGCAGUGGGGAAUAUUGCACAAUGGGCGCAAGCCUGAUGCAGCGACGCCGCGGGGGGGAGGACGGCCUUCGGGUUGUAAACUCCUUUCGCUAGGGACGAAGCUUUUUGUGACGGUACCUAGAUAAGAAGCACCGGCUAACUACGUG
rnacentral:rRNA from 1 species